AGCUAACGCUGGCGGCGUGCCUAACACAUGCAAGUCGUACGAGAAACACGUCCUUCGGGAUGUGGAGUAAAGUGGCGCACGGGUGAGUAACACGUGGGUAACCUGCCCUCGGGUUCGGGAUAACUGGCCGAAAGGCCCGCUAAUACCGGAUAAGACCACAUAAGUUUCGACGCAAGCGGUCAAAGUCGGCCUCUCAACGAAGCCGACGCCUAAGGAUGGGCCCGGGGACCAUUAGCUUGUUGGUAGGGUAACGGCCUACCAAGGCUGAGAUGGUUAGCUGGUCUGAGAGGAUGAUCAGCCACACUGGAACUGAGACACGGUCCAGACUCCUACGGGAGGCAGCAGUGAGGAAUAUUGCGCAAUGGGGGAAACCCUGACGCAGCGACGCCGCGUGGGUGAAGAAGGCCUUCGGGUUGUAAAGCCCUGUCAGGUGGGAAGAAACCUCUGAAGGUGAAUAGCCUUCGGAACUGACGGUACCACCAAAGGAAGCACCGGCUAACUCCGUGCCAGCCGCCGCCGUAAGAC
rnacentral:rRNA from 1 species